AUUGAACGCUGGCGGCAGGCCUAACACAUGCAAGUCGAGCGGAGCGGCGGACGGGUGAGUAAUGCCUAGGAAUCUGCCUGGUAGUGGGGGAUAACGUCAGGAAACGGGCGCUGAUACUGCAUACUAUCAGAUGAGCCUAUGCCGGAUUAGCUAGUUGGUGGGGUAAAGGCCUACCAAGGCGACGACCCGUAACUGGGCUGAGAGGAUGGUCAGUCACACUGGAACUGAGACACGGUCCAGACUCCUACGGGAGGCAGCAGUGGGGAAUAUUGGACAAUGGGCGAAAGCCUGAUCCAGCCAUGCCGCGUGUUUGAAGAAGGUCUUCGGAUUGUAAAGCACUUUAAGUUGGGAGGCGUUACCAACAGAAUAAGCACCGGCUAACUUCGUGCCAGCAGCCGCGGUAAUAC
rnacentral:rRNA from 1 species